UUAAAACUUUCAACAACGGAUCUCUUGGCUCUGGCAUCGAUGAAGAACGCAGCGAAAUGCGAUAAGUAAUGUGAAUUGCAGAAUUCAGUGAAUCAUCGAAUCUUUGAACGCACAUUGCGCCCCUUGGUAUUCCGAGGGGCAUGCCUAUUCGAGCGUCAUUAAAUACCACUCAAGCUCUUCUGCUUGGUCAUGGAAGAAGAGUAUGCUUGCAUCCUCUCUUCUGAAAUCGAAUGGCGGACUGCCUCAUGUGCCUCGCGUAGUAAGUUCAUCUUUUCGCUUGGAGUGUGAGAUAGUCUCGCCAUCAACCCCCAUACUUCUAAGGUUGACCUCGGAUUAGGUAGGGAUACCCGCUGAACUUAAGCAUAUCAAUAA
rnacentral:rRNA from 1 species